UCAUGACUUACGCGAGUGUGGUGUUCGC
rnacentral:sRNA from 1 species